CCAACCCUUCCUCGGUUCCUCCUUCCUGCGAUCCACCAGGGCCUGCACCUAUGCCCAACAGGCCAGAAUGAUGGGAAGGGCCGUGUCCUUCCUCCUCGACUCCUGGCUAGAGAUGCACGUCCAGGAUGGACCUCCCAGCCCACUGGCUCCACUGCAGCAUCCCCAAGCCCGCUGAAGAAGAGAGGCCAGCUGCGGCUCAAACUCGAGUACCACCUGCAGAGCCGGUGCCGCCUCUACCUUCAGCCUCCUCACCAGCUGCAGCACU